rnacentral:snRNA from 1 species
CACAUGGGUUAGUCGAUCCUAAG